UACGUAGGGCGCAAGCGUUGUCCGGAAUUAUUGGGCGUAAAGAGCUCGUAGGCGGUUUGUCACGUCGGAUGUGAAAGCCCGGGGCUUAACUCCGGGUCUGCAUUCGAUACGGGCAGACUAGAGUGUGGUAGGGGAGAUCGGAAUUCCUGGUGUAGCGGUGAAAUGCGCAGAUAUCAGGAGGAACACCGGUGGCGAAGGCGGAUCUCUGGGCCAUUGCUGACGCUGAGGAGCGAAAGCGUGGGGAGCGAACAGG
rnacentral:rRNA from 1 species